CCUACGGGUGGCAGCAGUGGGGAAUAUUGCACAAUGGGGGAAACCCUGAUGCAGCAACGCCGCGUGAGCGAUGAAGGCCUUCGGGUCGUAAACUUCUAUCAGCAGGGAAGAAGAAAGUGACAGUACCUGACUAAGAAGCCCCAGCUAACUACGUGCCAGCAGCCGCGGUAAUACGUAGGGGGCUAGCGUUCUCCGGAAUUACUGGGCGUAAAGGGUGCGUAGGCGGCCCUUCAAGUCAGAGGUGAAAGGCUACGGCUCAACCGUAGUAAGCCUUUGAGACUGUAGGGCUUGAGUGCAGGAGAGGAGAGUGGAAUUCCCAGUGUAGCGGUGAAAUGCGUAUAUAUUGGGAGGAACACCAGUUGCGAAGGCGGCUCUCUGGACUGUAACUGACGCGGAGGCACGAAAGCGUGGGGAGCGAACAGGAUUAGAUACCCCGGUAGUC
rnacentral:rRNA from 1 species